rnacentral:rRNA from 1 species
GUGCCAGCAGCCGCGGUAAUACCGGCAGCCCGAGUGAUGGCCGAUCUUAUUGGGCCUAAAGCGUCCGUAGCUGGCUGCGCAAGUCCGUCGGGAAAUCCACUCGCCCAACGAGUGGGCGUCCGACGGAAACUGCACAGCUUGGGACCGGAAGGCUCGAGAGGUACGUCCGGGGUAGGAGUGAAAUCCCGUAAUCCCGGACGGACCACCGAUGGCGAAAGCAUCUCGAGAAAACGGAUCCGACAGUGAGGGACGAAAGCUAGGGUCUCGAACCGGAUUAGAAACCCCGGUAGUCC